UGAAAAGAAAUGUCACAAUUUCUACUUUAACAAUAGUUCUGACCUUUGAGUAAAAUUGGUAAGUGCUGUUUGUUGGGGUAGUUUUAAUCC
rnacentral:pre_miRNA from 1 species